rnacentral:rRNA from 1 species
GAUGAACGCUAGCUACAGGCUUAACACAUGCAAGUCGAGGGGAAACGACAUCGAAAGCUUGCUUUUGAUGGGCGUCGACCGGCGCACGGGUGAGUAACGCGUAUCCAACCUGCCCACCACUUGGGGAUAACCUUGCGAAAGUAAGACUAAUACCCAAUGACGUCUCUAGAAGACAUCUGAAAGAGAUUAAAGAUUUAUCGGUGAUGGAUGGGGAUGCGUCUGAUUAGCUUGUUGGCGGGGUAACGGCCCACCAAGGCAACGAUCAGUAGGGGUUCUGAGAGGAAGGUCCCCCACAUUGGAACUGAGACACGGUCCAAACUCCUACGGGAGGCAGCAGUGAGGAAUAUUGGUCAAUGGACGAGAGUCUGAACCAGCCAAGUAGCGUGCAGGAAGACGGCCCUAUGGGUUGUAAACUGCUUUUAUAAGGGAAUAAAGUGAGUCUCGUGAGACUUUUUGCAUGUACCUUAUGAAUAAGGACCGGCUAAUUCCGUGCCAGCAGCCGCGGUAAUACGGAAGGUCCGGGCGUUAUCCGGAUUUAUUGGGUUUAAAGGGAGCGUAGGCCGGAGAUUAAGCGUGUUGUGAAAUGUAGAUGCUCAACAUCUGAACUGCAGCGCGAACUGGUUUCCUUGAGUACGCACAAAGUGGGCGGAAUUCGUGGUGUAGCGGUGAAAUGCUUAGAUAUCACGAAGAACUCCGAUUGCGAAGGCAGCUCACUGGAGCGCAACUGACGCUGAAGCUCGAAAGUGCGGGUAUCGAACAGGAUUAGAUACCCUGGUAGUCAGCACGGUAAACGAUAGAUGCCCGCUGUUGGUCUGAAUAGGUCAGCGGCCAAGCGAAAGCAUAA